rnacentral:rRNA from 1 species
CCUACGGGUGGCAGCAGUGAGGAAUAUUGGUCAAUGGACGAGAGUCUGAACCAGCCAAGUAGCGUGAAGGAUGAUUGCCCUAUGGGUUGUAAACUUCUUUUAUAUGGGAAUAAAACGUUCCACGUGUGGGAUUUUGUAUGUACCAUAUGAAUAAGGAUCGGCUAACUCCGUGCCAGCAGCCGCGGUAAUACGGAGGAUCCGAGCGUUAUCCGGAUUUAUUGGGUUUAAAGGGAGCGUAGGUGGAUUGUUAAGUCAGUUGUGAAAGUUUGCGGCUCAACCGUAAAAUUGCAGUUGAAACUGGCAGUCUUGAGUACAGUAGAGGUGGGCGGAAUUCGUGGUGUAGCGGUGAAAUGCUUAGAUAUCACGAAGAACUCCGAUUGCGAAGGCAGUUCACUGGACUGCAACUGACACUGAGGCUCGAAAGUGUGGGUAUCAAACAGGAUGAGAUACCCUGGUAGUC